AGUCUCGUUCCCUUUGGGUGUGCGGUGUCAAAGCCGUGCACUCUUAACGGUCGGACAAGUCCGUCGGAGUGUGGUUAUUGUUGGAAGGGCAACCGACCAAUGAGGCCACCGUAAUCGUUCGGGGUGCCUUUAAUCGGGUGUCUCGGGCGGCCGACAUAGUUUACUUUGAACAAAUUAGAGUGCUCAAAGCAGGUGACUACCGCCUGAAUAGUACAGCAUGGAAUGAUGAAAGAGGACCUCGGUCUGAUUUUGCUGGUCUUUAACGGUCGGGCUUCGGCCCGGCCUAUGCAGACCCGAGGUAAUGGUCAAUAGAGACGGACGGGGGCAUCCGUACUGCGGCGACAGAGGUGAAAUUCUUGGGCCGCCGCAAGACGAACGACAGCGAAGGCAUUUGCCAAGAAUGUUUUCCUUGAUCAAGAACGAAAGUUAGAGGUUCGAAGGCGAUCAGAUACCGCCCUAGUUCUAACCAUAAACGAUGCCAACUAGCGAUCCGCCGGUGUUACUCCCAUGACUCGGCGGGCAGCUUCCGGGAAACCAAAGUCUUUGGGUUCCGGGGGAAGUAUGGUUGCAAAGCUGAAACUUAAAGGAAUUGACGGAAGGGCACCACCAGGAGUGGAGCCUGCGGCUUAAUUUGACCCAACACGGGAAACCUCACCAGGCCCGGACACUGGAAGGAUUGACAGAUUGAGAGCUCUUUCUUGAUUCGGUGGGUGGUGGUGCAUGGCCGUUCUUAGUUGGUGGAGCGAUUUGUCUGGUUAAUUCCGAUAACGAACGAGACUCUAGCCUGCUAAAUAGGUGCCGGGUUUUUACAUCUCCUCGCAAGGGGAGAGUGGAGUGUGUGGUUGUCGGGAUCCUGGGCUGUGGUGGUCGUUUAGGCUGCGGGGGGCAACUCUCGUGGUCUGGGCGGCUGUCAUAGUUCACCCGGUGUACGCACACUUCGCGUCCGGCAUUUUUCUUCUUAGAGGGACAAGCGGCGUCCAGCCGCGUGACAGUGAGCAAUAACAGGUCUGUGAUGCCCUUAGAUGUCCUGGGCCGCACGCGCGCUACACUGAAGGAAUCAGCGUGUUAUUCAUCCCUGUCUGAAAGGACCGGGCAACCGCUGAACCUCCUUCGUGGUUGGGAUUGGGGACUGCAAUGAUCCCCAUGAACCAGGAAUCCCUAGUAGGCGCGGGUCACUAGCCCGCGUCGAUUACGUCCCUGCCCUUUGUACACACCGCCCGUCGCUACUACCGAUUGAAUGAUUUAGUGAGAACUUCAGACGGCUAUGUUUGUCCGGGGCAACCCGCGUCGAGCAGGGCUGAAAGAUGUUCAAACUUGAUCCUUUAGAGGUAGUAAAAGUCGUAACAAGGUU
rnacentral:rRNA from 1 species